GUUGCAGAGACCAGAGAAAAAAAUUAAAAUAAAGAGAGAAGAGAGAGAGAAGAGAGAGAAGAGAGAGAAGAGAGAGAAGAGCUUCAGAAGUCAGAACUCAAACUGGGAAAAGGCCAAAAAAAAUUGAAAAAAAUUGAGAACAAGGAAAGGGUGAGGUGGGUAAGUGGAUAUAAUCUCCCACAAUAAUUGGUAUCAAAUGCUUAUUGGGGUUCGCACUAUUGCCGAAUUCCAAGGUCUCUGACGAUUAUUUAUAGCUCUCAAAGCUUUUUUACUUCUGCGUUUCCCGAUUGGAGCUUUGGCGUUUGUGGGUAAAGAGAGAGGGAGAGAGUGGGGACCAAACAAGGGUUUUCGGUGGAAAGAUGCACAGAAAGGUUAGGUUUCCCUUCCAACUCUCUCUUCCACUGUCUUUGAAGUCUAAAUUAUUGGAGGGCUUUGCUUACGUGUAAUUUGAGACGUGUUUUUUGAAGUCUGGUUCGGGGUUUCUUUUUGAGGCCUGAUGUAUGGUUUCAGAGUUGCUUUGCUGGUGGUGAAUCAAGGGCUUGGCGGUUUUUGUGUUUGGUUUUGGGUUGAAGAUGAUGAAGUUUGUGACUGUUUUUAGGAGAUUUCGUGGUUUGAAUUUGGACUUUUGGGUGUGAUUACUAAGGGUUUGAGGUUUUUCUGUUUGUGGGUCUUGAUGUUGAUGGGAAGUUGUGUGAUUUGAAGUUUAAAAAAGAAACAGAGGUGGUUUGGAGGAGUUGUUGGGGUGGAAGGAAAAUUAUGUUUUUUUGUUCUGUUCUGGUAUGAACUUGGGCAGGUGGUAUUCGGCUUUAGCCGGAAUCUGUCCUGGCAUUUAGUUCAUUUGGUAGCAAAUCUUGGCUGCAGGAGGAUUAUUUGGAGGUUUUUAGCAGUUAUUGAGACUGAAAUUUUAAAACUUAGAGUUUAUAACAUGAUCAUAUCAUUUUCAGAUGUUUGAAUCAUGAACUGCAAAUAUAUCCAGGGGGACUUCUUGUGGGUUACCACUAGGUAACUUUGAAUUCCGAAAGGAUAUAUGGGGUUUUUGGAUUGUUCCUGUCAGUGAAAUCCGUUCAGUGAAUGUUUAAGCAAGCCAAAUGGCUUUUUUGAUUGUUUUCAGGCUUUAGCACUGAAAUUAUUGGAAAUUGUUAUCUGGGCAGCUGUAACAUCAGAAGGCUACGAUAAAGUAGAGGGAUUGAGGUAUUUCAGGUGAAAAUGGCGGCUGAUUCGAACAUGGGCGUUCAUCACGGUGCGUUUCUGGCUUCCUUGUUGAAUAGGCAUACAAUUUCGUUUCAGUCAGGUGCCUCAGGCAGCAACUCAGGGAUGAUUCCUUUUGGAAACUCUAUUGGGAUGAACAGUACAUCUGGGAUGAUCCUGACUGGUAAUUCCAGUAUGAUAAACAGCAACCCUGGAAUAACUGCAGCUGGAAAUUCCCCUGGUUCUCUUGUUCUUGAUUCAGUGCCAGGUCUCAAGCUUGAUACAGGAUUGGCUGUUGAAUGGUCCCCGGAAGAACAGUCUAAAUUGGAGGAAGGCCUUGUAAAAUUUGCUGAUGAACCAAGUAUCAUGAGGUACGCCAAGAUUGCAGCCAUGCUUCCUGACAAGACUGUACGUGAUGUUGCUCUGAGGUGUCAGUGGAUGACGAAGGAGAAGAGCGGGAAAAGAAGGAAACCAGAAGAUCCUUACACAGGAAAGAAGAUGAAAGAUAGGAAGGAAAAAUCGGCAGAAUCUUCUUCGAAGGCAAGUUUACCUCCAGUUCCACUUCACAACAUGCCUGCAUAUCCUCUCAGAAUGCACCAUAAGGACCGUGAUCGGAUACCUUGUGAAGUCCCAACAGUAGGCAGCACAACCAAGAGACUUUUGGAUGAGAAUUUUCAAGUAUUCAGUCGAAUUUCAGCUAACCUCACAGCAUUGGAGGUACAAGAUAACAUUGAUCUCUUCUGUCGCACAAGGAACAAUAUUACAGCCAUAUUGAACGAUAUGAGAGUUAUGCCUGGGAUUAUGAGCCAGAUGCCACCAUUGCCCGUAUCGAUCAAUGAGGAACUCGCAAAUAGUAUUCUUCCAUGUACAUCUGAGACCUUUAUGUUUGGCUCAUCCAGAGGAAUCCAUCUGAAGCAAGAAUCAGGAUGAUGACAGAGAACAGUAGCGUGAAGGCGGGGUCUUCCUGGCCUGUGUAAGUACAAAAAUUUUCUUCUGUAAAUGUGUUAAGAAGAUGGUAGGAGCUCCCUCUUCAUUUGUGUACACAUACAUCACACACCCGACAGAUGGGUGCCAUGAAGAGGACAUUUGUAGAGAUACCAUUUUUGGAAUCUUUAUUUAAAAAAAAAAAAAAAAAAGGGAAAACGCGGCUGAUCCAAGCACCAGGUAAUAAGAAGCAUGUAUUGCCGUCUCUAUGUCUUCAAGUAGUGUCUCUAAUAGGAACCUUUUGUAAACAAAUACACUUAAUUUAAAGGGUUGUAUAUAAAUUUGAGACAGGCUACCUAAUAGAUCUCUCUUCGGUGCUUGAAAGUGAUUUUUCUUGUUCUAUUGCUCAAGUUUUUUGUCUUCUGAGGAAGUUAAUUGUUUCCUCCAUUUCAAAUGCACUUCCAUUUUCAUUUUAAGUAUGUCUAUGAAUAUGCUUGAUAAGGAUUUCGUAUUCUGUCAGUUUGAUUGUUACUUUGCUUUCCCAUCACAUGUUUUGGGCAUGCUUGGAAAUAUACUGUUGAGAAGAUCCAAGAAUAUGCAUGGCCUAGAAGUGCUUGCAUCUUUGUCUUGUAUCUCUUACAGUUUAGCUGAAACUCUUACUUGUUAAAUGCUUGUCAGUCCUCAGCAAUGUGCCCUCUGACCUUUUUGCCAACAUUUCUGGUGUGGGAAGUCAUUCCUUCAAAGGUGGCUACAUCUGCCAAUUGGAAGCUUGCUGGGCUCUCAUAUUCUGUGCCCGUCCUUGUCACCCUUUAUUCAUGUUAUGUCUUUCAAGUUCUAAUCAUAUCUCAAUUAACCGAAGCUCUCUGUCUCUAGCAUGAACCCCCAAUAUAACUUGACACAACAUUUUUUGUUUGGAGGAAAACUGAUUUAGAAACAAUUUUUUCCUGGGCCAAAAAAUGAAAAAGAACUCUGCUGUUUGGCUUUCCUUUUCUUCUAAUCUUAUCCAGGCCAACACUACUUUCUAUUCGUAUUUCCUCUCCAGCACAACAGAUUUAGGGAAGAUCCAGCUAGUUCCUCUCUAAAAACUUCUUUGUGCUUGUGGUUCGAUAAAUCUGAUGGUUUCUUGCUUGAACUGGAUUUCCAUGGUGGGAAGUGCGAUUGAGGAGCGUUUUCAUGGAAGAUUAUACUGACCUAAGAUCAAGAUGGUUUUAUCUGGAUCACAGUAAGGAGGAGCUGCCCUUUAUCCUUCAAUGGUGGCGACUUAUGCAUUUUACAAUCUAAUAAAGGCAAGUUACCCUAGCUAAAGGAGGGGAAUGGUACCAUGGUCCUGGAGGUUAUAGGAUUGCAAUUGCAAAUUCAUACCAAUUAAUGCAUUCUAGACCCAGAAUAUAUUCCAAGAAUUCGAGCGUCUUUGAGAUGACUUUUGAUGCUUAGAAGCUUUCAUGCUGCCCCUGUCGAAGCUAAAGGAGAACACCUUCAACCUAUGAAGCUUCUUACAGUAUAAAUUAAAUCAGGUGGUUGUUUGGUAUGAGGCUAUAAGAGUUAGAUUUGGGGCUCAAUAACUGUUGAACUCAUGAUUUCCAGAGAUAUUAUAAAUCUUGGUCAUGGAAAUGAGUGGAUCAAAAUUUGUCACUUAAUUUUGUGCAGUCUAGAUUAACUUCACUUCAGAGAACUGCUUUCUACCAAACUGCCAUGGUCAGUGUUCAAAUUUUGUCCAUUUUAGCAUCCAUGUAAUAUUUAUCCAAACACAUUUUCCCUUGUGGACGUAUGCAUGCAUAGCAUUUUUUUUCCC